rnacentral:tRNA from 1 species
UCCCCUAUGGUGUAAUGGUAACACUCGGAGCUCUAACCUCCGUAUUGCCCGUUCGAGUCGAGGCUGGGGGGA